rnacentral:lncRNA from 1 species
AGGAGAACCCACCUCACCAAGGUGUGGACUCCAUCCCCGUAUCAGUGACGUCAGGGAAACGGAUCAGGUUGUGAGCUCUGGACUGCGUGCAAGUCAGAGAAAGGCUGACUUCAAGGGAGCUGAGGUGAGGGCCGUAGGAACCGGCAGGGAUGCUGUCUUUCUGGAGACCCUGAGGGCUGCCGGUCGGCCCAGGGGCCAUCUCCUACCCUGUCCCUGGUGCCCUGCUGCCUUCUGGAGCUGGUCACAGUGGAAACGAGGCGCCGAUGUUGCUUCUCCGGUCUCCAAGACGUAUGGCACCUAUGAAUCACAAAAAUCGCCAGCGGCUCAUAAUGCAGAGACGCAUCCGCGUUUGUCAGCCGGAGUGACACCCUCAGUGUGGUGUGGACAUGGGCACAGGCAUUGCAUUUGUCAGCUGGAGCAACACCCUCGGUGUGGUGUGGACGCGGGCACAGGCAUCCACGUUUGUCAGCUGGAGCGAUACCCCUCAGUGUGGUGUGGACAUGGGCACAGGCAUUGCAUUUGUCAGCUGGAGCAACACCCUUGGUGUGGUGUGGACGCGGGCACAGGCAUCUCAUUUGUCAGCCAGAGUGACACCCUCGGUGUGGUGCAGACAUGGGCACAGGCAUCUGCAUUUGUCAGCCGGAGUGACACCCUCAGUGUGGUGUGGACGCGGGCACAGGCAUCCACGUUUGUCAGCCAGAGCGACACCCUUAGUGUGGUGCGGAUGCGGGCACAGGCAUCCGCGUUUGUCAGCCGGAGCGACACCCUCGGUGUGGUACGGACGUGGGCACAGGCAUCCGCGUUUGUCAGCUGGAGCGAUACCCUCAGUGUGGUGCGGACAUGGGCACAGGCAUUGCAUUUGUCAGCUGGAGCAACACCCUCGGUGUGGUGUGGACGCGGGCACAGGCAUCGCAUUUGUCAGCCAGAGCGACACCCUCGGUGUGGUACAGACAUGGGAACAGGCAUCUGCAUUUGUCAGCCGGAGUGACACCCUCAGUGUGGUGUGGACAUGGGCACAGGCAUCCACGUUUGUCAGCCAGAGCGACACCCUUAGUGUGGUGCAGAUGCGGGCACAGGCAUCCGUGUUUGUCAGCCGCAGCGACACCCUUGGUGUGGUGCGGAUGCGGGCACAGGCAUCCAUGUUUGUCAGCCGGAGCGACAUCCUCGGUGUGGUGUGGACAUGGGCACAGUUAUCCGCGUUUGUCAGCCGCAGCGACACCCUCUGUGUGGUGUGGACAUGGGCACAGGCAUCCGCGUUUGCCUGCCAGAGCGACACCCUUGGUGUGGUGCAGACAUGGGCACAGGCAUCGCAUUUGUCAGCCGGAGCGACACCCUCGGUGUGGUGCAGACAUGGGCACAGGCAUCCGCGUUUGUCUGCCAGAGCGAC